rnacentral:rRNA from 1 species
CGGGAAAAGCUCAAAUUUAAAAUCUGGUAGUCUUUGGCUGCCCGAGUUGUAAACUAGAGAAGUGUUAUCCGUAUUGGACCAUGUAAAAGUCUCCUGGAAUGGAGCAUCAUAGAGGGUGAGAAUCCCGUCU